AAAAUGUGAGGGGAAAAUGGGGAAAAUGUGAGGGGAAAAUGGGGAAAAUGUGAGGGGAAAAAAAGAGGGGAAAAUGGGGAAAAUGUGAGGAGAAAAUGUGAGGGGAAAAUGGGGAAAAAAAAAAGGGAAAAUGUGAGGGGAAAAUGGGGGAAAAUGUGAGGGGAAAAUGUGAGGGGAAAAUGUGAGGGGAAAAUGUGAGGGGAAAAUGUGAGGGGAAAAUGGAAAAAUGUGAGGGGAAAAUGUGAGGGGAAAAUGGGGGAAAAUGUGAGGGGAAAAGAAGAAAAUGUGAGGGGAAAAUGUGAGGGGGAAAUAGGGAAAAAUAUGAGGGGAAAAUGGAGAAAUGUGAGGGGAAAUUAAGGGAAACACGAGGGGCAAAUUCAGGAAAGACGAGAGGAAAAUGGGAAAAACGGGAGGGGAAACGUGGCAGGGGAGGUUUUUGGGUUUCAGGAUGGUUUUUGGGGGCUUUUGGGUGUUUUUUGGGUGUUUUUUGGGGUUCCAGGGUGUUUUUGCGUGUUUUUUUGGCUUUCAGGGUAGUUUUUGGGUGUUUUUUGGGAUUCCAGGGUGGUUUUUGGGUGUUUUUGGGUGAUUUUUGGGGUUCCAGGGUAGUUUUCAGGUGUUUUUUUGGCUUUCAGGGUAGUUUUGGGGUGUUUUUGGGCGUCUCUACUCACGAAUCUCUCCAGCUCCAGCCGGGCCGGGCGCUCGGCGCUUCGCUCCUGGCGCUGGGCAGGGAAAGGGGAGAGCCCCGAGUGACCCCGAGUGACCCCGAGUGACCCUGAGUGACCAGUGACCCCGAGUGACCCUGAGUGACCACUGAGUGACCCCGAGUGAUCCCGAGUGACCAAUGAGUGACCAAUGAGUGACCCCGAGUGACCCCCGAGUGACCACUGAGUGACCCCGAGUGACCC
rnacentral:lncRNA from 1 species